rnacentral:snRNA from 1 species
UCUGUUUAACAGCCUGCCCACCCUGGAA